rnacentral:lncRNA from 1 species
GUUGAAUCUGCCCACUUGUGGGCAAGAGAAAUGUGAAGAUGACCUCCAUGCAGCUGAGCUGGAAAGGCUUAAAGAGCACCAAUCAAUCUGCAAUCAAGCGGCUGAGAGGCAUAAUUAGCCAGAUUAAUUAGGCCAUAAAGGCUGUGGCAAGAGUCAGCCUAGGUUUGCCUGGAGGUGAGAGCCUGGAGGUUGAGUCCCCUGAGGGAGGCUUGGAGGGCUUCUGGGCUGGGACCACCACCACCAGUUGUCCUGCUCAGUCCUGAGGGCAGCUGCUCUUCUAAAAAAACUCACCUUGUGUCGUCCCAAGCCAGUGAGCAGCAGAGUUGUCUGUUCCUGUGUCCCUGUGACCAUGGCCCUGGACCAGGGCGUUGGAUGGUAGGAGCUGUCCUCUCCCCUGUUCCAGGUGGAGCAGGAAUUGUUAAUGCCAUCCUUAAUAACAUCUAGAAGAAAAUCAUUUGCGUGCAUGAAGGGGAAGGUGUACAGUGGCUCCUUGCAAGUAUUCUAUAUUGCUGCCUGAAAAGGUAAUGAAAAAUCUUGCUUAGAUAUACACGCUUUCAUUUUUUUUCCAAUUGAAAUGAUUGUUGGCUUUAUUUUUAGCUG